CGAAAGUUAGAGGUUCGAAGGCGAUCAGAUACCGCCCUAGUUCUAACCAUAAACGAUGCCAACCAGCGAUCCGCCUGAGUUCCUCAAAUGACUCGGCGGGCAGCUUCCGGGAAACCAAAGUGUUUGGGUUCCGGGGGAAGUAUGGUUGCAAAGCUGAAACUUAAAGGAAUUGACGGAAGGGCACCACCAGGAGUGGAGCCUGCGGCUUAAUUUGACUCAACACGGGAAAACUUACCCGGCCCGGACACUGGAAGGAUUGACAGAUUAAGAGCUCUUUCUUGAUUCAGUGGGUGGUGGUGCAUGGCCGUUCUUAGUUGGUGGAGCGAUUUGUCUGGUUAAUUCCGAUAACGAACGAGACUCUAGCCUACUAAAUAGGCGUUCCGAUCAUUUAUGUCGGACGUUCUUCUUAGAGGGACAAGCGGCUUUUAGCCGCACGAGACAGAGCAAUAACAGGUCUGUGAUGCCCUUAGAUGUCCGGGGCCGCACGCGCGCUACACUGAAGGAAUCAGCGUGUGCUUUCCCUGUCUGGUAGGACUGGGUAACCCGUUAAACCUCCUUCGUGAUAGGGAUAGGGGCUUGUAAUUGUUCCCCUUGAACGAGGAAUUCCCAGUAAGCACGAGUCAUAAGCUCGUGUUGAUUACGUCCCUGCCCUUUGUACACACCGCCCGUCGCUACUACCGAUUGAAUGAUUUAGUGAGGUCUUCGGACUGGCGCUCGUAGCGACCUUUGGCCGCGCCGACGUGCCGGAAAGAUGACCAAACUUGAUCAUUUAGAGGAAGUAAAAGU
rnacentral:rRNA from 1 species